UAACGCCAUUCUGUGCAUUAAUUCUGAAUUGCAUAAGGUCUGGAGUAUCUUCCUGUAUAUCUCUGCCAAUAAGUAAGGAAAGAAAUUGCUUCAGCGUGGGGGCCACAGACUUUCAGCAUCCUUUUUCCGGAUGCUUCACCAUCCACAGCUCAAGGCUGGGAGUGAAGGAGGUGCCCUAGAUGCCCUCACCACUGGACGCGCAGAUGGGCGAGGACAAGUUGUAAUUCUGAGCAUUGCAUUAGAAAGGGCCUAAUAAGAGGGAGUGACAUGUGCCUGAAGAACUACCUGACUGCUGCUAAUAUAGAAAGUAUUAGGUCCAUGCUGAGACCAAAGUUGAAUCCAAGGCUAUAAUCUGGUCUUACAUACACCAGGAGAUUCCUCAUGUUGGUUGACUAAAAAUGCAGAAAGCUAUGGCUGAAGCAAGGAUCCAUCCCUGAUACAAUGAGAGAAUGAUGGUACCCGGGGAUGUGCUGGUUGUUAAAAGUUUUCAUCAGAGCUGAGUGUUGAAUUUUGUCAUAUACUUUUUCUGCAUCUAUUAAGUAGAUACCUAGAAGACCGUUAUUUACCUCUUUGGGUGUUAAUCCAGGCACAAGCCUUGCCACAGUUUCCCGGUUGAUGGUCUGGUGGAUUCCACUUAAUGGGUUCUCAGCACUGUUUUCAUCAUGAAAGACUGAAGAAUUACCAUUGGCUCAUUUUAUAGGAAAGCAAGACCUCCAUGAAAUAGCAGAGUGCGUGAAAUCAUCAGUGUUUGCCCUGACAACAGUAGUAAGUAAAACAAGGACCACCAACUGGGCUUAUUCAAAUGGGAGAGAUUAAGAACUGGAACCAGUAAGAGAGAAAACUGGGAGGAAUACAAGGAGAAAAACAAAACAGAACAAACAUCAGCUUCUGUUUAUUCUUACUCGCCAGUUUCUCAUUCUGGGCAGAGAUUUUGAUGAGGUGUUUACUCACCUCCUCUCAACCUUUCCUGGAAUAGCUACAUUUAAUAGUGCAAGAUCACAAAGUCUGAGAAGAAAAUCAUACGAGAACUUCAGCCUGAAUCAUGUCACUCCAGGUAAUCUGGAUACUAAGAACCAAACAAAAUGGACUGAAUAAAAGCAGCCUGAAGUUCACCGGGUUUAUUUUGCCUCUGCCUGCUCUCAGAGAGACGUGAAUUUGCAGUGAUUGACUGCAGUUUCAUAUUAACGGAACAGAUUGGAGACAGAAAUCAUCCUCAGGCCUUAAUCCCAGGGAAAUCAGAAAAACAACUUCUUCUAAAGCUAUUUACAGGGCAGCAGAUGUGAAGGUUUGUCUUGGAUUGGACACAGCAUAACAAACAACUUUUUGAAAUAAGCUCAAUUUAGAAGGAACAGAAUUCGCAUUACGGACUAAAAAGUAUUCUUCGUCAAUAAAGACUUUGGAUUCUUGUCAGGACUUUCCCAGGAUUAGAGUGACAUUUGUCUACAUUCAAAGAUGCCUUAGAAGAAACUCAGCAGGCAACCACCUUUGAUAGGAGCUGCUGUAAUUCACCUGACCGCUGAGAACCUGGAAAUCCUGCAAUCCACAGCCAAGCUUCUUGAGCACAACUUCUUGUUUCAGAGGCAAGAAAAUGGUUUCUUCCCUACCAUAGCCUCACUGGAUGCACAGACUGGGGAUCCUUGAUGGCACAUUUUUAUAAUUUUCCUAAUUGUAUUUGAAGCAGUUUCAAUAGUGGCAUAUAAUCACAACUUUCCUACUCGUUGGGACA